UGGGGAAUAUUGCACAAUGGGGGAAACCCUGAUGCAGCGACGCCGCGUGGGUGAAGAAGUAUUUCGGUAUGUAAAGCCCUAUCAGCAGGGAAGAAAAUGACAGUACCUGACUAAGAAGCCCCGGCUAACUACGUGCCAGCAGCCGCGGUAAUACGUAGGGGGCAAGCGUUAUCCGGAUUUACUGGGUGUAAAGGGAGCGUAGGUGGCCUGGCAAGCCAGAAGUGAAAACCCGGGGCUUAACCCCGCGGAUUGCUUUUGGAACUGUUAGGCUUGAGU
rnacentral:rRNA from 1 species